rnacentral:rRNA from 1 species
UACGUAGGUGGCAAGCGUUGUCCGGAUUUACUGGGCGUAAAGAGCGCGCAGGCGGUCGUUCAAGUCGCGUGUGAAAGCCCCCGGCUCAACUGGGGAGGGUCACGCGAUACUGAUCGACUCGAAGGCAGGAGAGGGUAGUGGAAUUCCCGGUGUAGUGGUGAAAUGCGCAGAUAUCAGGAGGAACACCGGUGGCGAAGGCGGAUCUCUGGGCCUUACCUGACGCUGAGGCGCGAAAGCUAGGGGAGCAAACAGG